GCGCCUACGGGACGCAGCAGUAGGGAAUCUUCCACAAUGGACGAAAGUCUGAUGGAGCAACGCCGCGUGAGUGAAGAAGGGUUUCGGCUCGUAAAGCUCUGUUGGUAGGGAAGAAAGAUAGAGGUAGUAACUGGCCUUUAUUUGACGGUAAUUACUUAGAAAGUCACGGCUAACUACGUGCCAGCAGCCGCGGUAAUACGUAGGUGGCAAGCGUUGUCCGGAUUUAUUGGGCGUAAAACGAGGGCAGGCGGUUUAAAAAAG
rnacentral:rRNA from 1 species